CAAACAGGUAGACUACAGACCAGCUCCUCACGUGAUCAUGUCCUCCGAUCAAACAGGUAGACUACAGACCAGCUCCUCACGUGAUCAUGUCCUCCGAUCAAACAGGUAGACUACAGACCAGCUCCUCACGUGAUCAUGUCCUCCGAUCAAACAGGUAGACUACAGACCAGCUCCUCACGUGAUCAUGUCCUCUGAUCAAACAGGUAGACUACAGACCAGCUCCUCACGUGAUCAUGUCCUCCGAUCAAACAGGUAGACUACAGACCAGCUCCUCACGUGAUCAUGUCCUCCGAUCAAACAGGUAGACUACAGACCAGCUCUUCACGUGAUCAUGUCCUCCGAUCAAACAGGUAGACUACAGACCAGCUCCUCACGUGAUCAUGUCCUCCAAUCAAACAGGUAGACUACAGACCAGCUCCUCACGUGAUCAUGUCCUCCGAUCAAACAGGUAGACUACAGACCAGCUCCUCACGUGAUCAUGUCCUCCGAUCAAACAGGUAGACUACAGACCAGCUCCUCACGUGAUCAUGUCCUCCGAUCAAACAGGUAGACUACAGACCAGCUCCUCACGUGAUCAUGUCCUCCGAUCAAACAGGUAGACUACAGACCAGCUCCUCACGUGAUCAUGUCCUCCGAUCAAACAGGUAGACUACAGACCAGCUCCUCACGUGAUCAUGUCCUCCAAUCAAACAGGUAGACUACAGACCAGCUCCUCACGUGAUCAUGUCCUCCAAUCAAACAGGUAGACUACAGACCAGCUCCUCACGUGAUCAUGUCCUCCGAUCAAACAGGUAGACUACAGACCAGCUCCUCACGUGAUCAUGUCCUCCAAUCAAACAGGUAGACUACAGACCAGCUCCUCACGUGAUCAUGUCCUCCGAUCAAA